rnacentral:rRNA from 1 species
UCGACAAUGAUCCUUCCGUAGGGUGACCUGCGGAAGGAUCAUUGUCGAAACCUGCCCAGCAGAACGACCCGCGAACUUGUGGAAACAUCUGCGGGGGGGCGUCCCCAGGGCCCUCCUCCGCACACGCCCUGGGUGCGGGACUCGUCCUGCUCCCUGUGGCGAACAACGAACCCCCGGCGCGGAAUGCGCCAAGGAAUCACAAUGAGAGAGCACGCUCCAGGGGCCCCGGACUCCGGUGUGCCUCAGGACGCGGCGCCUUCUUUCACAAUAUCCAUAACGACUCUCGGCAACGGAUAUCUCGGCUCUCGCAUCGAUGAAGAACGUAGCGAAAUGCGAUACUUGGUGUGAAUUGCAGAAUCCCGUGAACCAUCGAGUCUUUGAACGCAAGUUGCGCCCCAAGCCGUUAGGCCGAGGGCACGUCUGCCUGGGUGUCACGCAUCGUUGCCCCACCCCACCCCCUCGGGGGCCUGGCGGUGAGGGCGGACAAUGGCCUCCCGUGUGCUCCCGCUCGCGGCUGGCCCAAAUUCGAGUCCUCGGCGACCGGUGCCGCGACGAUCGGUGGUGGAAACAAACCUCUCGAGCUCAUGUCGCGUGCCCGUGUCUCUGGAUCGGGACUCAUGGAACCUGACGCUGUGUGCCAGCAUCGCGACCCCAGGUCAGGCGGGAUCACCCGCUGAGUUUAAGCAUAUCA